GAUGAACGCUGGCGGCGUGCCUAAUACAUGCAAGUCGAGCGAACGGACGAGAAGCUUGCUUCUCUGAUGUUAGCGGCGGACGGGUGAGUAACACGUGGAUAACCUACCUAUAAGACUGGGAUAACUUCGGGAAACCGGAGCUAAUACCGGAUAAUAUUUUGAACCGCAUGGUUCAAAAGUGAAAGACGGUCUUGCUGUCACUUAUAGAUGGAUCCGCGCUGCAUUAGCUAGUUGGUAAGGUAACGGCUUACCAAGGCAACGAUGCAUAGCCGACCUGAGAGGGUGAUCGGCCACACUGGAACUGAGCCACGGUCCAGACUCCUACGGGAGGCAGCAGUAGGGAAUCUUCCGCAAUGGUCGAAAGCCUGACGGAGCAACGCCGCGUGAGUGAUGAAGGUCUUCGGAUCGUAAAACUCUGUUAUUAGGGAAGAACAUAUGUGUAAGUAACUGUGCACAUCUUGACGGUACCUAAUCAGAAAGCCACGGCUAACUACGUG
rnacentral:rRNA from 1 species